UCCGUAGGUGGAUAAUUAAGUCAGAGGUGAAAUCCUGCAGCUCAACUGUAGAAUUGCCUUUGAUACUGGUUAUCUUGAGUCAUUAUGAAGUGGUUAGAAUGUGUAGUGUAGCGGUGAAAUGCAUAGAUAUUACACAGAAUACCGCUUGCGAAGGCAGAUCACUAAUAAUGUACUGACACUGAGGGACGAAAGCGUGGGGAGCGAACAGGAUUAGAUACCCUGGUAGUCC
rnacentral:rRNA from 1 species